CAGCUGCAGCAUGGCCAUAAUGGUUUCUCAGAGGUGCUCUUGCAGCAGAGUGUGGUUGGGUGCAAUGGCUGAUGUGUGGGCACUGCUUUCUCACCAUCUCCUCAUGAACUGAGCAGCCAUCUGAUUCUGCCUGGCUCAUGCAUCUUGAAUUCCUGCAAACUUGUGAGGAGUUUUCCGAGCAUUGAAAAAAUCAAACCAAACCAAACCAAACCACCAAGAAAAGGAGACAGUAAUGAAGAGUAAGCUGAUUUUUUGUCCUGAUGUUCUCCGCCAGGUAAGAUAUACCACUAGGAGCUGGCAAGGCUGUGGGCUGCAUAUAAAAAGAUCAGCAUC
rnacentral:lncRNA from 1 species